rnacentral:rRNA from 1 species
CUACGGGAUGCUCCAGGCGAGAAAACUUUGCAAUGUGCGAAAGCACGACAAGGUUAAUCCGAGUGGUUUCUGCUAAAGGAACCUUUUGUCGGUCCUAGAAACACCGAUGAAUAAGGGGUGGGCAAGUUCUGGUGUCAGCCGCCGCGGUAAAACCAGCACCUCAAGUGGUCAGGAUGAUUAUUGGGCCUAAAGCAUCCGUAGCCGGCUCUGUAAGUUUUCGGUUAAAUCUGUACGCUUAACGUACAGGCUGCCGGGAAUACUGCAUAGCUAGGGAGUGGGAGAGGUAGACGGUACUCGGUAGGAAGGGGUAAAAUCCUUUGAUCUAUUGAUGACCACCUGUGGCGAAGGCGGUCUACCAGAACACGUCCGACGGUGAGGGAUGAAAGCUGGGGGAGCAAACCGGAUUAGAUACCCGAGUAGUC